rnacentral:rRNA from 1 species
ACGCUCGACACCUACGGAAGCAGCAGUGGGGAAUAUUGCACAAUGGGGGGAACCCUGAUGCAGCGACGCCGCGUGAGUGAAGAAGUACUUCGGUAUGUAAAGCUCUAUCAGCAGGGAAGAAAAUGACGGUACCUGACUAAGAAGCCCCGGCUAACUACGUGCCAGCAGCCGCGGUAAUCUGAGCGGGCUGGCAAGGC